GCAAGUCGAGCGGCAGCGGGAAGAAGCUUGUCUUCUUUGCCGGCGAGCGGCGGACGGGUGGGUAAUGUCUGGGGAUCUGCCCGAUGGAGGGGGAUAACUACUGGAAACGGUAGCUAAUACCGCAUAAUGUCGCGAGACCAAAGUGGGGGACCUUCGGGCCUCACACCAUCGGAUGAACCCAGAUGGGAUUAGCUAGUAGGUGGGGUAAUGGCUCACCUAGGCGACGAUCCCUAGCUGGUCUGAGAGGAUGACCAGCCACACUGGAACUGAGACACGGUCCAGACUCCUACGGGAGGCAGCAGUGGGGAAUAUUGCACAAUGGGGGAAACCCUGAUGCAGCCAUGCCGCGUGUGUGAAGAAGGCCUUCGGGUUGUAAAGCACUUUCAGCGGGGAAGAAAGCGAUGGCGUAAAUAGCGCCGUUGAUUGACGUUACCCGCAGAAGAAGCACCGGCUAACUCCGUGCCAGCAGCCGCGGUAAUACGGAGGGUGCAAGCGUUGAUCGGAAUUACUGGGCGUAAAGCGUACGCAGGCGGUCUGUUAAGUCAGAUGUGAAAUCCCCGGGCUCAACCUGGGAACUGCAUUUGAAACUGGCAGGCUAGAGUCUCGUAGAGGGGGGUAGAAUUCCAGGUGUAGCGGUGAAAUGCGUAGAGAUCUGGAGGAAUACCGGUGGCGAAGGCGGCCCCCUGGACGAAGACUGACGCUCAGGUACGAAAGCGUGGGGAGCAAACAGGAUUAGAUACCCUGGUAGUCCGCGCUGUAAACGAUGUCGAUUUGAAGGUCGUGGCCCUGAGCCGUGGCUUUCGGAGCUAACGCGUUAAAUCGACCGCCUGGGGAGUACGGCCGCAAGGUUAAAACUCAAAUGAAUUGACGGGGGCCCGCACAAGCGGUGGAGCAUGUGGUUUAAUUCGAUGCAACGCGAAGAACCUUACCUACUCUUGACAUCCAGAGAACGUGGCAGAGAUGCCGUGGUGCCUUCGGGAACUCUGAGACAGGUGCUGCAUGGCUGUCGUCAG
rnacentral:rRNA from 1 species